CCUUCAAAAAACCGUUCGUUUAGCAUUUAGCACGUGCAAAAUGACGAAAAUGAUACGAUGAAUUUUGUUGCUCAGUCUUAAACGAGUGAUUCAAUACCGCCGUACCUGAAGAAUGCACAUAUAUACAGAAAUACCUAGCAAAAAUUAGUUUUUAACGAUUCAUAUUAAUGCUGAAUUACAUACAACUUUUCAGAACCGAUUACUGGUUAUCAGUUUUGUACAAUUUGCAGAGCUAGUUUAACCACGG